CCUACGGGCGGCAGCAGUAGGGAAUCUUGCACAAUGGGGGAAACCCUGAAGCAGCAACGCCGCGUGGGGGAUGAAGGUUUUCGGCUUGUAAACUCCUUUUGUUAGAGAAGAUCAUGCCGGUAUCUAACUAAUCACCACCUGCUAACUUCGUGCCAGCAGCAGCGGUAUUACGGAGGGGGAAAGCGUUCCUCGGAAUCACUGGGCGUAAAGAGCGCGUAGGCGGGAUAGCAAGUCAGAUGUGAAAUCCUAUGGCUUAACCAUAGAACUGCAUGUGAAACCGGUAGUCUAGAGUAUAGGAGAGGUAGGUGGAAUGCUUGGUGUAGGGGUAAAAUCCGUAGAGAUCAAGAGGAAGACUCAUGGCGAAGGCGACCGGCUAGAACAUAACUGACGCUGAGGCGCGAAAGCGUGGGGAGCAAACAGGAUUAGAUACCCCUGUAGUC
rnacentral:rRNA from 1 species